UUGGAGGAAGGAGAAAAGACAGUGAAGGACCUUCAUACUGAACUGAGUGUGUGUGACUGCUAGGUAGGUUCCAAUAUUUCAUGCAGUCCUGAGGAUCAGAAGGUAUUUCCCUAUCUUCAUGGAUGAAGAAGCCUAGAUUCAGCGAAGUCAAGCAUCCCAUGAGGCACCAAGCACCCUGAAUCUGGUGGGGACGGUGUCCCUGGACUUUGCAGCACAGAUAUUCCAACUUUUGCUCUGUCAUGUGCAUCUACCAUGACAUAGUAUCUCACUAUGGUCCCCAAAGCAACGGCGAGAACCAACCACGGACUGCAACCUUCAAGAGAGUGAGUCAAAAGAAACUUCCUCUUCUUAAGCUGAGUAUCUUAGU